UAUAUUUUAAUCUUUCAACAAAUUAAACAAUCAAUUAUUGGCAAUUGGUAGAAUUUAUACAAUUAAUCGAAGAAUACGUUGAACUAUAUGACUAGACAGCUUAAUUUGACCAGCAAUUAAUGCAUAUUCACAUUGCCUGCUACUAGUAUACUGUAACGUUUGGUUCUCCUGUAUGUGUGGGAUUGCCAAAGUAUUUUCUUUUGGACCAGCGGAUUUCAAAAACACUUUCCUCGCAAGAACCAUCAAAAGCUAUAUAGUUGGCGGCAUAUGAUGAAGUCACAGAAUUUUUCAAUAGCAUUUGUUUCAUUGAUGUUCUGAAUUCGAUUACAUUACUAUUGUGACCGAAACGCUAUCUAAUUUUUUAAAAAAAUAUUUCAAAGUGAUCAUGUGAGACUUUGUAUGUUAAAAGGUACUUAUAAUGAAUAUCAUCAAGAAGUUGUUCAGAGAUAGUAAAGACGGAUUUAACAUCAACAGCAAAUCCUGUAACAAAUAUCAUCAAAUACAAAUUAAAAAU